CCACCGACAAUUUCAUUGUUAUUGAAAACGACGAAUUUUGGCCGUCGAUUUUAAGGAGAUCAACAGUUUUUGUAUUUGAUACAAACGAUGUAAACCCAUCGAUACAAACGAGUGAAGUUUUUUCUAUAGAUAGGUAGCCAAAUUCAUCCAUUUCUCUCUCACCAACCCCUUUUUUCUCUAUUGUCCAUCCCUAUUCGUGGAUUGUCCAUCCUUGUAUUCCUUUCUCCUCCAGUGUCCUCCCAAAGUAGUGCUUCCGCCAGUGUCUUCCCAAAGCAGAGGCAGAACUAAUGUCUUUCCAAAAUAAUGCUUCCGCCUCGCUUGUGUCGUCUGAAGCUUUCAAGUAGUCGGUUCCAAUUGCAUGUCUCCUGUGUCUUCUUAAAGCAGACUGUGCAGCCGGUGUCUUUCCUGAAACUCCGGAGUGAGAAGACGAGCCUCAUUCGUCACAUUUGGCAAAAUAGGUACUGUCAUUCAGUAAUUAGUAUUAGUAAUUUUUUUGAUAUAAUGGAUUUGAUGUUGUGUGUGAAGUUGAAGUUGAUUAAUUAAUAGUAUUUAGUAAUUUUUUAUGCAUAAUGUGAAUUAGUAUGCCGUUAUUAGUAAAUAGUAACUAGUAAAUAGCAAAUAGCAAUAAUAAAUAGUAAUUUUAGUAAUUAGUAAUUAAUAGUAAUAGUAAACAGUAGUAGUAAUUAGUAAUCGGCAGUUACAUAGUAAAUAUUAAAUAAUAGUAACAAUACUAGUAAUUAGUAAUUAUGAGUUAAUGGAGAACCGACACUUUAAGGUUGAGAGGUUGAAAGUUGUACCCCUAUUAGAGUUUUUAUACGAGUCUCUUUCAAAUGAUGCACCGAAAGAAUUAGUUUGCCAGCAUGUUCGGUGCUAUAUUUUGAUGUUAUUUGGAAGACAGUUGUUUGCCGAUAUAUGUGGCAAUGUUUUCAGUUGUCUUUGGUUAGAUUAUAUCCGACACAGAGGGUAUAAGCCAAUACAGUUGGGGCAGUGCAAUAUUUGCUGUUUAUACUCUUAUCUCUGCAAAGCAUCGUAGGUUUCAACGAGCUACACUGUUGGCCCAUAUAUGCUUCUAUAGUUAUGGGUAUGGGAGAGAAUGCCCAAAAUUCGCUCCACCGUGUUGGUUUCCACUGCACAAGGAAAUGAAUUUCCUAAAGGCGGUCGGAGGGGCGGCAGCCGUACAACGAAAUAUGUGCUCUCGCAUGUUAUGUCCUCCUUUUGUGAUCAACUUACCAAGAUGGACAUUGAUGAGCUAUUCUACUAAUAAAUAUUGCUAUUGUAAAGUCAAUAUGUAUUUACUGUCGCGACUAACUCCAUUUCUGAUUGCCAUAGUUUAUUUGGGAGUCUUAUCCUGAUGACCUUAUUGCACA